rnacentral:lncRNA from 1 species
UUCAGUGAUAACAAGCAGUUUUUUUACAUCUUAAUAUUUUAUGAUGUAUUUAAAUGAGUAGUUAUUGUUGCAAACUCCAUUAGAAAUUUUAAUUGAGAUUAGUUUUGGAAUAAGGGAAAGGGGGAUGUGAUUAAAAAAAUUGGGGUUCAAUUUUUCUCAUUUGAAAUUUCAUAAAUAAAAAAGAAAAUUUCUUCAAACAUUUUUUUUGAGAGGAUUAAUAUUCAACAGCAUAGUGAAUUGCUUCUAAGAGAAAACAAAAAUUUUAAGUUCAUUAGAACACAUUCAUCUGUGUCAGAAACCUAUGCUGUGUCAACUAUUUAAUCACAAUCCAAAUUUAGAGCUGAAUCCAGCUUGAAUGUUGUGUCCAUACUUGCCCCAACCGUUCAGGGUUCAACUUCUGCGGUCGUAUAAAGCUACGCCCUGCGGAGCAUCUGGUUCAAAUA